CAUUCGGACAAAUUCCUGGGAACUGCGGAUCUAGCUCGCCACAGUAUCUUAUCAGUUAACUGCAUUCUUGGAUGUGCUGGGAGUCAGCUUGCACAAGUUAAGUCCUUGAGGAAGGGGCUGCCGGUGAAAGAGCCAAGAUGGAGUUUGUGUGACUCUCUCAGCUAAGGGAGAAGCAAGGCUAGGUGAAUAAAGGAAAAACAAGGUUGGGCAUUACACGGAGGUGGAGUGAUUGUGUAAAGCAGAGUGAGGUGGUGUUGCUGGAAGACAUGGAUGGAGGCAUGACACAGACUGUCCACUGCAAAAACCAUGGACGGAGGAGGCGUCACACAGACUGUCCACUGCAAAGACCACAGAUGGAGGCGUGACACAGACUGUCCACUGCAGAGACCAUGGACGGAGGCAGCCUCCGAGCCAGCCCAGCAGCCAUGGACGGAGGAGCCUUGGAGCCAGCCCAGCAGCUCUCCUCACUGGAGGGGUGGACGGGACAGGACCGGCUGCUCAUUCCACGCUGGAGGGAGGCCAGGAGUCUCAGCUGGAUGCAGUCACCUGACCUGGAGAGUUCAAAGUGCCUAACACAGGUGCUCACCCCUCUUCCCCCUCACCCCUGUCUGGACCUGGGACAUGGAGCCUUCCUCUAAGUCUGGUCUCCCCGCUCCUCCAGGAAGGUCCUGGAGGGGAUGGCCUGGGAUGGGCUAGGACCCGGUUCCCACCUCAGGAGGCCUCUGGCCAUGGAAGUGCUAAGGGUUCGUUUGUUUGUUUUUCCCGACACAGUAGGGUCCACGAGGAAGUCAGGAUCCACCGGCAAUAUUUGCAGUGUUAUGUUGAAUGUGGCAACUGGCUGCGUGAGGAUAGAGAAGUAAACAGCAUGUCCGGUGGCAGUCGGUUACCACACAGAAUUUAGGAGGCCCAGUGAAAUGCAAAUGCUAGGUCCCCCUCCCCUCUGGGUGAGCCUGGAUGCCAGCACCCUGUUCCGCCCGCCCAGCAUGCAGAACAAAAGCACAACGCACAGAAACACAGCCGGUGCGCGCAGGGCGGCAGGCUGGCUUCUCCCUCCCUCCUGCCGAGGUCUCCGGCCCCUUCCCCCUUCCCUCCUUCCCUCCCCUCUCCUCUUCUAUUAGAAAAUGGGAGUGUUAGGGUUGAAUUGUGUCCCCCCAAAACAGGUAUGUUGGGGUCCUGAUUCCCAGUCCCCUAGAAUGUGACCGUGCUUGGAGAUAAGACCUUUACAGAGUAACUGAUUAAAAUGAGGUCAUUAGCAGGGACCCUAGUGCAGCAUGACUGGUGUCCUUUCAAAAAGGAGAAAUUUGGAUACAGACAUAGACACACACUGAGGGAAGGUGAAGUAAAGGGGCAAGGAGAAGACGGCCUGCAACGGGAGUGACGCCCUUACAAGCCGAGGGACGCCUGGCAGUGCCAGCUGACACCAGGAGCAGGGAGAGGCCAGGAAGCCUGGCAGUGCCAGCUGACACCAGGAGCAGGGAGAGGCCUGGAACGGUUCUCCCUGGAGACAUCCGGGACACACCUUGAUUUCAGGAUUCCAUGAUAGCUUCCAGAACUGCCAAAGAACGCAUUUCUGUGUUUUCAGCCACCCAGUCUGUGGUAUCUUGUGACUGCCGCCCUAGGAAAGUAAAACAAGGAGUUAAUUCAUGAAGGGUGGGGGAAAUACGUACCCUUUGAAAUACCACCUAGAGGAAGGGGUAAUAGUACACCCGAUCAUGUGCUCCAGUUUAUGAAAUAGUUGCACGUCACUCGGAAUUUUGAAAAACAAUAUAUUUUCAGGACUCAAAAGAUUUGCUUGCUAUGGACUUGUCUUGCAAAAUAAAGAAUCUCUUUGUAGACCACAUUCAUAGAUGUAUUUCAUGUAUGUUGACAUUGAUUUGGCUUGCUCAGAAAUAGGAAACGUGAGAACUUGAAUAUCAUGGCGUUUACAAAGCCAGUGAGGUCAGUUCCUCUCCUGGGCCUCAGGUGCAACCAUUGGCCGCCUGGCCUACCUCUGGAAAGCGUUUGGAGAGGGCGUGAGUUCUUGCACCCACCCUCUGGUUUUGCAAGCUCCCUCUGCCAUGGCUGGUGGAAGGCUGUGUUGGGGAGGUGGUGGAGUC
rnacentral:lncRNA from 1 species